UCAAAUUCCUCUUGAGAAGAAAUUUGGUUUUGUUCGAAUUGGAUUGGUGUAUGUGAUAUCGGGUUUGGGAGGAAAUUUGCUGUGUGUUUUAUUCCUCCAUUCAAUCAUCUACGUUGGUGCAUCUGGUGCAAUAUUCGGCUUACUAGGAGUGAUGCUAUCAGAGCUUUUAACAAAUUGGAAAAUGCAUACUCAUAAGUUUGAUGAGAUGUUGAUUCUUGUUGUGAUCAUUGUUUUGGACUUAGCUCUUGGAACUUUUCCAUUUGGAAGUAAUUUUAGUAACAUUUGAGGGUUUACAUCAGGAUUUCUUCUUGGAUUUGUCAUUUUGACUCGCCGUCAGCAUCAUUGGCUUAAUCUAAACAAGUCUAAUACUUCCCAGAAGCAAGAAUCUUAUCAAUAUGCGCUUCGGAUUAUCUCUUUUGUGCUACUUAGUGUUGGAUUGGUCGGCGGCGGCGUCUUGUUCUUUAAAGGGGUGGACUUGAAUGAUUACUGCUCUUGGUGCCAUUAUAUAACCUGUGCCCCUCCGAGCUGUAAACCAGGCUACAUUUCUUGUGAGGUGAGUGAUGCUGCUAUGCUACUUCCUUAUGUAUUUGC